rnacentral:rRNA from 1 species
UACGAAGGGGGCUAGCGUUGCUCGGAAUUACUGGGCGUAAAGGGAGCGUAGGCGGACUGUUAAGUUAGAGGUGAAAGCCCGGGGCUCAACUCCGGAAUUGCCUUUAAAACUGCAUCGCUAGAAUUGUGGAGAGGUAAGUGGAAUUCCGAGUGUAGAGGUGAAAUUCGUAGAUAUUCGGAAGAACACCAGUGGCGAAGGCGACUUACUGGACACAUAUUGACGCUGAGGUGCGGAAGCGUGGGGAGCAAACAGG